ensembl:lncRNA
CUCGCCCCUCUGCCGCCGACUCUCUCGAAUCUGUCUCAUCUCUCUUGACUCGGCUGCCCUGGUCCUUAAUCGCUGCGCCCCAGCUCCCUCGCGCUGGAGCCUAGACCUGGCCCGGGCUCGCGUAGUGCGGCCUGCGCGUCGCCCGGACUCGACCUCCCCCCCGGGGUGACGCACUUCCGGCGCGACGGAGCCGCGGAGACGGCAGGCCCUCCCGACCCGCAGCGGUGCCGGCGCAGGAAGAAUGGCGAGCUCCUUCCCCCGGCGCCGCGGCGGGGCGGAAAGAAAGCCGACCUGCUGGCUUCCCGACCUUUUGAGCCAAGAGACCUCUUCCACAAGCUUCCUCAGGGCCAGGUUCUCGAGCGACACUCUGAAGGUGGCGUUUUUAAUCAGCAGGUGGGCGCCGAGGAAGCAGGCCUGUGGCGGCCAACGGUAGGAAACCUCCGGCCGCGACCGGCGGGUCCUGGCGGCCGCUGCGCGCCCCUCGAGCCCGGCCUGCCUGGCCUCGUUUCGCACAGAGCUCUCCAGCCCCAAGUUACCGUCCCCGAGCCUCGCUUGAGCCGAGCUUGGCCGUCUGCUCACGCCAGUGCCUGUGCAUUGCUGAGAACCCAGCUCCAGCCUGGGGACCUGGACCAAGGCCUGCUGUAGCACAUGUUUUGGCCACCACAGGCCCAAAGCAACAGGCCCAAAUGGCUGUGGAUGGAAACCUCCAAGAUGAGAUUGGAUCCAACACAUGGAGAACACCUUACCAGACCAUGUCCGCACCACAGCACCAGGUCAACCCCACUUUAGUAUAGGACAAACUGUUAAGUACUGUAUACCCUUGUUUACACUAACGCCCGUGGUCCAGUAGCUUCCAAUCUGUUUAGUAUUUCCUUUCUCAUGGGCUGGGACAUGGCAGAAAGCACAGAACAGGCAAAGCGCUCCCAGAUACAGAAGCAGCAGCACUCACACACCCCCUCCAUUUAACUAAAUGGAAACAGCCUAAGAAUGAAUCGUGACUUAAGUUUCCCAAAUAUUAAACUUCCACACCCAUCAUUCUAGUUGAGGUUAAUAAUACUGUGAAUUGACUUGUGAUUUUUUUUCCAAGACAGGGUCUUGCUAUGUAGUUCAUAGUCUUUGAACUCACCUUGUAGCCCAGGCUGGCCUUGAACUUGUGGUAAUUCUCCUGCCUCAGCCUCCCAAGUGCUGGGAUUACAGUCAUGCACCACCAUGCCGGACCAUUCAUAUGAUUUUAACACUAAAUUUAUCUUGUACAGAAGAAGAAAUGAGCUUAUGUUUUGAAAUAAUAAGCAAGAACAGUGUAAACUAGGCAGGGAAUCAUUUGCAUUUCAGCAGAAAAAGAGUACACAAGGAGCUAAACGUGAGGACACAGCUUGUAGGUGGUAAAGGUAGAAACUGAAGCCAAAGUUUCUAAGAUCUUUCAGGGAGAAGAGGGGAGCACAAGGAGAAGCAUGUGUGUGAGAUCAGAGACGACCAUUUCCGUUCCUUUUGGCCCCACGCUAGAUGGCCGUUGGGGGUCUCCUGGGCUUGCUACAUGAUGGGACACAUAAAGCCAAUGCAGAGCUUUGUAUGACAUUGCGGUCACCUAGGACACAUCUGGGAGUGGUCUCUGGACCUGAAGCAGGUUGAGACGUUGGGUUAGCAUCUGGCCCUGCAUACGAGACAUUCUUCAAGAACUCAAAAUGUUGAAGAGUAGCUCAGUAUGGAAACCUAGGGCAGCCAUGGGUAUAAAUACCUCUCUCCUCCAGAGCUGUGUGCCACUCACGGGCUGAGGAAUGUAAGAACACAUGAGGAGCCACAGUUGCUCCUCUCCCAGUAUGGGCCCAGCGCAGGCCAACAAACUUUCAGGAGAGAGACAGACCUGUGCUCCUGGUCUGGCUCCUGUAAGGGUUCAACACUGGGCAGGAUUUCCUGGCGUCUUCACUAGUGAGUCCCUCAGCGUUGUUACAAAACAGAUUCCUGGUAAAUAUUAAACAUACAUGCUUUCAUUAUUAAAGCCCUAAUCUUCUUGAACAACUCUCCAGUAACUAAAGUUCAAAGUAAGAAAUGAAAGAAAAAAACAAAAACACAAAAAUAAGCAGGACAACAAUGUCCUGAGUCACCCACUGGAAGCUUAUUUUGUGCAGUGCCGGGUGUAUCGUCUCCUGAAACCUGUUAUUAACACCCUUGUCCAAAGCUGCUGGAAGUCCAGGUUAUCAUUCAGUCCUCUCAUUUAUUUGCAGCAGUGUCUUGAUGCCAGGAUCCAUUAUUUUGAACAUACCUUAGAAUCCUAUUAUCAUCCUUCUUCCCUAAAAUUCAGUAGCAUGGAGGGAAAGAAUUUUCUUAUGGAAACAGUCAUAUUUAAUAAAUAUAUUUUCUCAGUAUACACUCAAGAGUCACUUGGGAAUGGUUUAUUGUGGUACCACUACAUCUCAUGACAGUUAAAAACUCUUAACUUUCUAAAGUAUCUUCCAUGAACUGGAUUUAAAUACAUACCACGAAUUCUUUUAGAAAAAUAUUUUGCACAUUUGUGAUCAUGAUAUGUAAAUCCUUGUAAAAUUCUGUAAAGCUUGGAAAAGGCAAAUUGAAUCCAGGACAGGCUCUAGGAGGCAGAGGGGGUCGUCAGUUUUGUUCAUGUUUGCACCUCAGUACCUCGUCCGAAGCCUGGCAUGUACAAGGCAUUCAGUAAGUAUUUGUUAAGUGAUCUCUUUGUAGAAAGAUCCCCUAGAGAAUAGCAGUCCUUUAGUAGUUAUUCUGAAAAUAAAAGGAAAAUCUGAAUUCUUGGGUUAGUAAAGCAACAGAUCAUCAUGGCAUUUGUGCAAACCAGAGAGGGAAAGAUUUGUUGUAGCCCGAAAUUUAGGAAAGCGUCAUAUAAAAAUAUUUCCCAAAUGUAUGAGACCCAAAAGCUGGCUCUCAAAAUUUCAGUUCUGGCUCUGCUGUCAUAGAUGUCCCCUAAGAAAUGCAGAAAGCCAUCGAGAGACCAGUAUUUUUGAUUCCCAUGACUUAAGAAUGGAUAAUGGGCCAAGGAUUUAGCUCAGUGGUUCUGGUGCCUGCCUUGCAAGCACAAGGACCGGAGUUUGAUCCCCAGUACCAAAAAAAAAAAAAGAAAAGUAUAUAUAAACAAUCUUCAAUUGGGCCAGGG